rnacentral:rRNA from 1 species
CAUCAGUUUGGUUUGCUUGCAAACCAAAGCUGGCGACCGGCGCACGGGUGAGUAACACGUAUCCAACCUGCCUCAUACUCGGGGAUAGCCUUUCGAAAGAAAGAUUAAUAUCCGAUAGCAUAUAUUUCCCGCAUGGGUUUUAUAUUAAAGAAAUUCGGUAUGAGAUGGGGAUGCGUUCCAUUAGUUUGUUGGGGGGGUAACGGCCCACCAAGACUACGAUGGAUAGGGGUUCUGAGAGGAAGGUCCCCCACAUUGGAACUGAGACACGGUCCAAACUCCUACGGGAGGCAGCAGUGAGGAAUAUUGGUCAAUGGACGCGAGUCUGAACCAGCCAAGUAGCGUGAAGGAUGACUGCCCUAUGGGUUGUAAACUUCUUUUAUAUGGGAAUAAAGUUGUCCACGGUGUGGAUUUUUGUAUGUACCAUAUGAAU